AUUCACAUUCAGAGGGCGUGAUACACAUUUCAUUCUUUCCGAAGUUCACGGUUGCUGAAAAAAAUUUGGGAACUCUGCCACGUUUUCCGAAUUAUUCUUUCCCUUUUGGCUGCCUGACCUUGGAAUUCAAUAAACCUACUAUUAAUGAAAGUUCUGUGACUGUGAAGAUAAAUCAGAAUAGUUCCUGCCCUCAAAAAAUUCACACGUCAGCUUUGAAAGAGACACAGAUACAAGAAACUAGACUGAUAAUGGUAACUGAAGGAGAAGACCACUUUGUACCAGUUUAUGAUGAUCUACUUGAGACACCAGUGGAGUGUGUGCACAGAGCAAGGACCAUGUGAGGACACAGGGAGAAGAUGGCCAUCUGUAAGCCAAGAUGAAAUCUCUUCAAAAGACACCAAUCCUGCUGACACUUUGAUGUUGGACUUCUAGCCUCCAGAACUACAGUCUGGACUAUAAUGUGCCAUGGAGAAUACAUCUUUGCAUUAUAUCUUCCUGGGGAUCGUUGAGCCUCUUGUACCUGGAUGUCUAAAUUUCCUGCUAAACUUGGGAAGUUUUCAUUUAUUAUUUAGUUAAAUAGGUUUUCUAAUUCUUUUACUCUGUCUUAGCCCUCAGGGACACCAAUAAUUAGAAUAUUCAGAUGCUUUAUGUUGUCUCAAAUAUCGUGAAUACUUUGCUUAUUCUUUUUUCUUUUCUUUUUUUUUUCCAAGAUAGGGUCUUGUUC